AUUGAACGCUGGCGGCAGGCUUAACACAUGCAAGUCGAGCGGAGAUGAGGUGCUUGCACCUUAUCUUAGCGGCGGACGGGUGAGUAAUGCUUAGGAAUCUGCCUAUUAGUGGGGGACAACAUUCCGAAAGGAAUGCUAAUACCGCAUACUCCCUACGGGAGAAAGCAGGGGAUCUUCGGACCUUGCGCUAAUAGAUGAGCCUAAGUCGGAUUAGCUAGUUGGGGGGGUAAAGGCCUACCAAGGCGACGAUCUGUAGCGGGUCUGAGAGGAUGAGCCGCCACACUGGGACUGAGACACGGCCCAGACUCCUACGGGAGGCAGCAGUGGGGAAUAUUGGACAAUGGGGGGAACCCUGAUCCAGCCAUGCCGCGUGUGUGAAGAAGGCCUUAUGGUUGUAAAGCACUUUAAGCGAGGAGGAGGCUACUGAGACUAAUACUCUUGGAUAGUGGACGUUACUCGCAGAAUAAGCACCGGCUAACUCUGUGCCAGCCGCCGCCGUAAGAC
rnacentral:rRNA from 1 species